rnacentral:rRNA from 1 species
GGCUCAGGACGAACGCUGGCGGCACGCUUAACACAUGCAAGUCGAACGGAGUUAUCGAGAGCUUGCUUUGAUAACUUAGUGGCGGACGGGUGAGUAACACGUGAGCAAUCUGCCCUUAAGAGGGGGAUAGCAGUUGGAAACGACUGAUAAUACCGCAUAAGAUAGUAGUACCGCAUGGUACAGCUAUAAAAGAUUUAUCGCUUAAGGAUGAGCUCGCGUCUGAUUAGCUAGUUGGUGAGGUAACGGCUCACCAAGGCAACGAUCAGUAGCCGGACUGAGAGGUUGGACGGCCACAUUGGGACUGAGACACGGCCCAGACUCCUACGGGAGGCAGCAGUGGGGAAUAUUGCACAAUGGAGGGAACUCUGAUGCCAGCGAUGCCGCGUGAGGGAAGAAGGUUUUAGGAUUGUAAACCUCUGUUGACAGGGACGAUAAUGACGGUACCUGUUGAGGAAGCUCCGGCUAACUACGUGCCAGCCGCUGC